rnacentral:antisense_RNA from 1 species
UACCACCGCAAUCGCGAGCAGGCUCACUCCUACAGGGAGUGCAUUCCAAAAUGUAGGAGUGAGCCUGCUCGCGAUUGCGGCAGCU